rnacentral:rRNA from 1 species
AACGAACGCUGGCGGCAGGCUUAACACAUGCAAGUCGAACGCAUCCUUCGGGGAGAGUGGCAGACGGGAGAGUAACGCGUGCGAACGUGCCCUUCAGUACGGGAUAACCCAGGGAAACUUGGGCUAAUACCGGAUACGAUCGAGAGAAGAAAUAUUUAUCGCUGAAGGCUCGGCCGGCGACUGAUUAGCUAGUUGAUGGGGUAAUGGCCGACGAAGGCGACGAUCAGUAGCUGGUCUGAGAGUAUGAUAAGCCACAGUGCGACUGGGACACGGGCCGAACUCCUACGUGUGGGAACGGUGGUAAAUAUUGAGCAAUGGGCGGAAGCCUGAUCCAGCCAUGCCGAGUGAGUGAUGAAGGUCAUAGGGUUGUAAACCUCUUUCGUCCGGGACGAUAAUGACGGUACCGGAAGAAGAAGCCCCGGCUAACUUCGUGCCAGCCGCCGCAGUAACAC